CUGUAGUUUACUAAGCAUUUUGCUUUUUGAGCACUGCAGAGCUGUGCAGGCUCAGAUCUGGACAGUUGUUUGUCAAAAUGUGAUUGUGCAUUGCAGCAUUGAACAGCUCACUUCCCAAAUGCAUUCAGGAAACUACCAGGGGCUCAUUUUUCUCCUAUGAAGCCAUGCCUACAAGCAUUCUGGAGGUUCCUCUAUAAAACUUGUGAGGUACGGAUAUAUAAAAUGGACAUUGGAGGCACGUCAUACCUGCCUAGCAUCUUUGCAGAGG